AUUGAACGCUGGCGGCAGGCCUAACACAUGCAAGUCGAGCGGAUGACGGGAGCUUGCUCCUGGAUUCAGCGGCGGACGGGUGAGUAAUGCCUAGGAAUCUGCCUGGUAGUGGGGGACAACGUUUCGAAAGGAACGCUAAUACCGCAUACGUCCUACGGGAGAAAGCAGGGGACCUUCGGGCCUUGCGCUAUCAGACGAGCCUAGGUCGGAUUAGCUAGUUGGUGAGGCAAUGGCUCACCAAGGCGACGAUCCGUAACUGGUCUGAGAGGAUGAUCAGUCACACCGGAACUGAGACACGGUCCAGACUCCUACGGGAGGCAGCAGUGGGGAAUAUUGGACAAUGGGCGAAAGCCUGAUCCAGCCAUGCCGCGUGUGUGAGGAAGGUCUUCGGAUUGUAAAGCACUUUAAGUUGGGAGGAAGGGCAGUAAGCGAAUACCUUGCUGUUUUGACGUUACCGACAGAAUAAGCACCGGCUAACUCUGUGCCAGCAGCCGCCGUAAAAC
rnacentral:rRNA from 1 species